CCUCCCAGAGACAAGUUAGACUACCCUCUAAAGAGUGCUGUCAAACCAAUACUGUGCCAGGCCACAGGAGAGACAUCCUGAUGAAUGCUGGAACUUGGCUAUUGCUAUCAUGGUUUAUAAGCAUAACAGAUAGCCUAGACACUAUGGAUGGAAGCUUGGAAUAUCAUCGGAUAGAGUGGCACCAUCAGAGGAAUUCCUGGUAUUACCAAAUGAAGUAGGCAUGGGAACAGUUUUUGUGACAAAUAUUUUGGAUGUCUUCACUCUACCCCUCACCCACUGUAGGGAAGUGAAGGCAUGAGAAUUUGAACAGAAGAGACACCCUACUACCUGUACUUCCUACACAAGACCCAGUGACCACAGGCUCCC
rnacentral:lncRNA from 1 species